CUCUCAGAUUCCAACCACGAUACUGAAAAAACCAAAGCCCAGUCUAGCCAUUUAAAGAGAACACAUGGAAGUAAACCAAGAACCCAGCCAAUAUCCCCAGGUGACUGAAACUGUGGAAAGUGAAAUCAUGGAUAAGAAGGGACUACUGUGGGCUGGGCGCAGUGGCUCACGCCUGUAAUCCCAGUAUACCAUGACCAAGUGGGAUUUGUCUCAGAAAAGCAAGGACGGCUUAAAAUACGAAAAUCAAUCCAGGCAACUGUCUUUCGUGAUAAAAGCACUCAGCUAGGAACAGAAAGAAACAUCCUCAGCCCAAUGAAAGACAUCUGCACAAUUCUCAGGCAAUUAGUAAACACAGAUGCCUACCCCAAUUAUCAGAUGAAUUUAGGAUGAACUGUGUGUGACAAAUGGUGAGUCAAGUCCUCUUGCUUGAAGACUAGUUAUCAUUUAUCUUGAGAACAUAAUUGACAAGAUGAUCCUAAAAUUUAUCUAGAAACACACGGGACACAGAACAGCCAAGAUAAUUUUGAAAAAUAAGAACGAAGGACUCAUACUUCUUGAUUUCAAAACUGACUACAAAGCUACAGUAAUUAACACUGUGUGAGACUGGCAUAAGGAUAUGCAUAUAGAUUGAUAAAAUAAAACUGAGAAGCCCUUGAGAAAUAAACCUUAUAUAUAUGGUCAACUGAUUUUUGACAAUAAUGACAAGAAAAUUCAAUAGGAAAAGAAGUUAUUUCAACAAAUGGUACUGGGACAACUGGAUACACACAUGCAAAAGGAUGAAGUUGGAACCUUACCUCAUACCAUAUGCAAAAAUUAAUGCUAAAUGAGUCAUAGACCUAUAUAUAAGAAUUAGAACUAUAAAACUUAUGGAAGAAAAUAUAGGUGUAAGUCUUUGUGAUUUUGGAUUACACAAUGGUUUCCUAGAAUGACUCUUAAGCACAAGCAACCAAAUCAAUAAGUUGGAUUUCAUCAAAAUUGAAAACUUUUGUGCCUCAAAGGACAUUAUCAAGACAAUGAGAAGAGAACACAUAGAAGAACACACUUACAAAUCAUAUAUCUGAUACAUAUCUGCUUUCCAAAAUAAGUAAAAACUUUUAUAACUCAAUAAUAAAAACACAAGUAACCCAGUUUA
rnacentral:lncRNA from 1 species